rnacentral:rRNA from 1 species
GAUGAACGCCGGCGGCGUGCCUAAUACAUGCAAGUCGAGCGAACGGACGGGAAGCUUGCUUCUCUGAUGUUAGCGGCGGACGGGUGAGUAACACGUGGAUAACCUACCUAUAAGACUGGGAUAACUUCGGGAAACCGGAGCUAAUACCGGAUAAUAUUUUGAACCGCAUGGUUCAAAAGUGAAAGACGGUCUUGCUGUCACUUAUAGAUGGAUCCGCGCUCCAUUAGCUAGUUGGUAAGGUAACGGCUUACCAAGGCAACGAUGCAUAGCCGACCUGAGAGGGUGAUCGGCCACACUGGAACUGAGACACGGUCCAGACUCCUACGGGAGGCAGCAGUAGGGAAUCUUCCGCAAUGGGCGAAAGCCUGACGGAGCAACGCCGCGUGAGUGAUGAAGGUCUUCGGAUCGUAAAACUCUGUUAUUAGGGAAGAACAUAUGUGUAAGUAACUGUGCACAUCUUGACGGUACCUAAUCAGAAAGCCACGGCUAACUACGUG